rnacentral:rRNA from 1 species
AGAAUGAACGCUGGCGGCAUGCCUAACACAUGCAAGUCGAACGAAGGCUUCGGCCUUAGUGGCGCACGGGUGCGUAACGCGUGGGAAUCUACCCCUUGGUUCGGAAUAACAGUUGGAAACGACUGCUAAUACCGGAUGAUGACGUAAGUCCAAAGAUUUAUCGCCGAGGGAUGAGCCCGCGUAGGAUUAGCUAGUUGGUGUGGUAAAGGCGCACCAAGGCGACGAUCCUUAGCUGGUCUGAGAGGAUGAUCAGCCACACUGGGACUGAGACACGGCCCAGACUCCUACGGGAGGCAGCAGUGGGGAAUAUUGGACAAUGGGCGAAAGCCUGAUCCAGCAAUGCCGCGUGAGUGAUGAAGGCCUUAGGUUGUAAAGCUCUUUACCCGGGAUGAUAAUGACAGUACCGGGAGAAUAAGCUCCGGCUAACUCCGCGCCAGCAGCCGC